rfam:Triticum aestivum genome assembly, contig: Triticum_aestivum_CS42_TGACv1_scaffold_019579_1AS
CUAGUAUUCUCUUCGUUCGGAAUUAUUUGUCAUAAAAAUGGAUGUAUCUAGAUAUAUUUUAGUUGUAGAUAUAUCUAUUUUUAUUCACUUUUAAGAUAAAUAAUUUAGAAUGGAGGGAGUAGUAC